GCCUGGCUAGCUCAGAUGGUAGAGCAUGGCAGACCUGAUCUCAGGAUUGUGGGUUUGAGCCCUAUGCUGGGUC
rnacentral:tRNA from 1 species